AGUUGCUAGGGAAAUAAUUAAGACUGCUGAAGUAUUAAUUUAUUCAUUUUUGCAUGUGUAGCAUCUCCUAAUCUUCAUCUGCCUCAUAUUAUUUAUUCUGCAGCUUGUUUUGCUUUCUUCUUUUCCUUUCUAGUGAUAUUUACCUCAUUUUUUUAAGGUUUUUUCUUUUCCAGCUGUUCUCCAGGUGCCAUUCUUCACAGUCUGUUAUAGAUGUAGUAUUCAAUGUAAUUUACUCCAGUGCAAUUUGUUCACAGUGAUGCCUAAAAAUUUCUGCCCGGAAAAGAAAGUGGAAUGAAAUCUAAAUCCAAUUACUGAUGACUUUGCUGAAAUGCAUACUGAAUACAUGUACAACUCAUGCAAUUUUUGUAUGUUUUUAUUAGGCCAAAGCCUCCUGGAACUGGGAGAAAACAGUGCCAUCAUUGGUAAUAUGCAGUGUGGAAAUUUAGUCCCAUAGACAUUAUUAGAAACUUCGUAUACAUAUGUUUGUAACAAAUUGUUCUUUUUUUCCUUUUUUCUUUCAUUGGGGCUUAAAAAGUGCUUUGUAGAAUGUUCUUGUGUGAUUUUAUAAUCUUUUUCUGUCUUAGGUGUUGCUGAGGGGCAUGAUUUAAGAUAAAAAUGAGAGUUCAAACUCAUGUUAUUAGUUUUGCACUGAAUGGCAUGCGGUGGUGAACAAUGCUGCUCGUGGAAUUUGACCUUAGGAUCUAAACACUUGAGCACAAUUUUUGGCACUGCAGAGUAAAAGGACAUGUACAUAUAUAUGCACAGACGUAUGAGUGACAUCUAUGACAGUAUUUGACCACUUAAAGUAUUUGGAAGUAGAGCACAUAGGUAUUCAUUUCAAUAGCCUGUUUCAGGCUGUGUAGGUGACUUAAGUCCUGUUCUGAUGAACAAGUAAAAAUGAAAUAAAUACUGUAAAAAUGAACAUUAGAAAGAGUGAAAAUAGAAACCACCUGAAUACCUAAAUUGCCAUUCAUAUUUUAUUAAAGCCUUUUCCUUCACUUUUCUUGUCUAUAUUCUGUCUAUAAUAUUAAGCACUUUCAAUAAUCCAAUUUGAGCAGUCUUUUUUUUUUUUUUCUUGUAUAGAGCAGCAUGAACUUGUUAUAUAGUUAGGGAAGAAUGUUUAUUUUUUCAUACAAAAGUCCAUUUUUUUUCCUGAAGUUGACUUUAAAUGAAGGCUUAAACUUUACUUGCUUGGACUUUGACUCAGAUUUGUCUCCCCUAAAUUCUGUGGGUCUGGUUAAACUGAGUGAUGUUUUGGGAAUCCUCUGGGUCUUAAUGUUUACUUGCUUUACUUCAAAUAUUUCCAUAUCUUCUAGCCACAGAUUUCUUCAGCUUAUUUUCAUCUUACAUUUACAUUGGGUAGCUGUGCAUUAUAGCUACUAUUUUUUUUUGUGUGCCACCUGGGUACACUUCUCUUCAUGCUACUAGACUUCUCAUGGAGGGAAGGUGGAGAAGGGCAAGAAUUUGAUUGUACUUUAUUGAAUUAAAAUGAAGCUGAUUUUUUUUUUUUUUUGCAAGCUUUGUUGUGAAAGGCUCUAUACAGUAGUUCAGAAAUCUGUUUAUGUCCAAUUGCAUGUGUCUUUAAUUCAGGUGUGUAAGUAUGGGAGUUUUAAGGCGUUUUUGUACAUAAGUCAUUUUGAAAACAAUGCCUCCUAUUUAUGUCCAUGGGAACUGUAGCAAAGAGCUCAGUAACACUGUUUGGUAGAGCAGAUUCUCAGGUACAACGUAGUCAUCACCAUUAGCUAUGCAUUUUUGCCAGCAAUGAACAGGUGCCUGCAUACCAUGCUCAUACAAAUGUGCACCAGUGGAGGUGAGCCAUUGUUUCUCAGACGUUGUGACUGCACAGUUGCUAGGAAAAUGUUGCUCAUGCAGUUUCUUUCAUCUGCUCAAUCAAAUGGAAAUCAGAAGACAUAAAAUCCAGACUCUGCAGGGGGUGUGUGAGGACAGUCCAGCCAAGAAAGCCAUUUUGCUCCAUGGGGCCUGGCAUUCUCAUGUUUCUAGAGAAAGGUUGUCUUCUCUGCUCUAUCUCUAAAAGUUUGAGCCGUCCUCUUAGUCAGUGUUGUGUUGUAGCAGUCACACUGGAUGGUGUGAAGGGGUUCCGAGAAAUCCAGAAGGAUCACUUGUUUUCUAUCCCAAAAGAUAGAAAGUUUGAACAUCACAUUACCCACUGAGGCUUACGUCUUGAACUUUGAUGGGGAAUUCAUGCUUCACUAUUUCAUGGACUUCCAUUUUGACUAUGGUUUGUAGUGGUGACACCACAUUUCAUCUCUGCUAAUGGUGUCAUCCAGGAAAUUGUUACCAUCAGCUUUGCAUUGGUUCAGUAGAUCCUGACAUACCUUGCUCCUCCUGUUCCUGUCCCAUUUGUGGCACCCCCCUGGUGCAAACUCUGUGAUAUUCACCAUCAUUUCCAACACACUGAAGCUGAUACUCAGCUCUGUACACAACUUCCUGAUUGUAGUUCACUGACUGGGGCAAAUGAGUUGUUUGAGAUGCUCCUUAUUUUGUGGUGUGACAGCUGUGUGUGACUGUCCUGUACAUGGUGUGUCUUGGCACUGUCAGCACUGCUGAAACACACCACCUACUAUGGUAGCAUCCAUUGUUUGGUGUCCAUGAAUGUUCAGCAAAGGUUGAGUGUCACUGGGUGCAAUUUUUACCUCCCGGAGGGAUUCAGUUACACAUUUGUUUUAUAUACACUUCCAUACCAGGUGCUGUUUUAUCCGACUGCCCCUCUGCUGCCAUCUGCCCCAUGGCAACAAAGUGUAGUGGACUAACUGUGGGAAGGUUCAGCCUCUACUGCCAUACCGCUGCCAACAUGGGUCAACAUAAUGAAAUAAGAGGCACUACUUUCUGAGCAGCCUUUGUGUGCACUCAUGUGCUGUGCUAUUGUUGUUAUUCCUCAUACUUCUUGAGCGGCUUGCUAGAAUUUAUUGCAUGCCAUUUAGUGUCUUAAAUCUAGCAAAUUUAGAGAGCCCUUGGCGCUUAAACACCAUUUUGCACCUUUUCUCUUUGCUUUAUUAACAUACUGAUGUUUAACUUCUGUUAAGUGUUUGAAGAUGCAGACCUGAACCUAGUCAUCCCAUCUACUCUGUUUGCUGCUGUGGGUACAGCGGGUCAGCGAUGCACAACUGCCAGAUGACUGCUGACACUCUAUAUGGUCCCCUUCACACUAAAGAAGCAGUGAAAAUGUUUCUUGAUGCAGUAGAACGAGCAAAACAACAAGGUGGCUCUGCAGUCUAUGGCGGAAAGGUGAGUAACUUUUAUUUUCCCUUCUACAGUUAAUUUUCUAGGGAAAAAAUGCAGUAGCAUUGUGGCUUAGGCCAAGAUUGUAUUUCAGUUUAUGUCAUCAAUUAUGGGAAGUCAGUCACAAAAUGUCCAAACUGAAGUCCUGUGCUUACAGUAAUGUAGAAUACCAAGAAAUGGCUGAGUUUUCAGCAAUUCCCCGCACUGCUCUUCCAUCUCAGAGGAUGGUGAAAAUACUGACAGCAAUGUAAAUGGUGACUGUCGGGCACAUCACAAAGAAAAAUUGCUGUUCUAUUCCUAGGUUCACUGUAUCAAAAUUUGAGAAAUGUUGAAGAUUCAAAGAAGUCUCCGACACAUCUUCAUUAUUUGCCUGAAGUUGCUUCCUGUUUAUUUCCAUGGAAAUGACAGCAAAUACAAAGAAAAUAAUAACACUGUUUGAUAGAUCAAGUUCUCACCUACAAAGCACUAUUUUUCAACAUAUUCAACACCAUUAGCUAUGGAAAUGGAAACUAUGUUGAACCAACCACUGUGAUUGGCCUUGCCCAUAAUGCGCCCAUUGUCCACACAGAGACAUUUGCUCCCAUACUGUACGUGCUGACAUUUAAGGUAAAAUAGCAAAGUGAAUUGUGCCUGGUGUCAGGGAUUUCAGGAGAGCAUUUUCCGAUGUGUGCUGUGUAUAUAUGCAGUUUUCUUGACAGUUGAAGAAGCUGUUGUUCUGCACUGUAAUGGCAUAUCUCCUCACAUAGCUACGUUUAUGCGUGUUCUGUGAAGAGCACUGAUAUUGAGUUAAGUCUGUGCAGGAACAGAUCUUCUCAUUUACGUCAGCCUGCUUUAUAGCAAGUUUUGUCUUUCUCUGCAUUGCUGGGGAUAUCCUAUCCUUGAUUUGUUACAAAUGUAUUUGCAAAGUGGUAUUCUGCUUAUUUGCAUUACACCUGCAGUAUACUGCAAUUUCCUUAACAGUGCUUAUUUUUAAUUAUUUUGAAUAGAUGUGCUUCAACUAUUGUUAUUCCUUCUUUCUAGGAGGAAGAGGAGAUAUUUGCUUGGAAUAAUGAAAUAAAACAAGGUCUUUCCAGCAGUAUCUUUACCAGAGAUUUGGGAAGGAUUUUUCGCUGGCUUGGAUAUAAUUAAAAAUAUUUCUUUACAGUAUUUAAACUUGAUGUAUUUUGUUUUGUUUCUAUACCUACAUAUGCUGCUAGCUGAACGUUGUUUAGCUCUUGUUUUAUAAAAGGAGUCUUUGCUGAUCCUGAUCAGUAGUUGUCUUAUCUUUGUCCACAGACCACGGGGAUCUGACUGUGGCAUUGUGAAUGUCAGCAUCCCAACGAGAGGGGCAGAGACUGGCGGUGCUUUUGGUGGUGAGAAGCAUACUGGUGGAGGAAGAGAAUCUGGAAGUAAUUCAUGGAAGCCUUAUAUGAAAAGGUCAACGUGAAAAUACGUGAAUAGGAACCACAGAGAGAGGGGCCAGUUUUGCCUGUGCGUGGGUGACUUAUUGAAGUGUUGGAUAUCUCUCCAUGAAUCUUGUGAAGAUAUCUUCUAGCAGUCAGGCAUUGCUAUUCCCUCUUGCUAUCUCCUGCAUUUUCCUGUGCUGACUCGGUUACCAUGGUCAGAAGCUGUGUGCAUAGGAAGGAGGCUGCAUAAUCCGUCUCG